UGAGGAAUAUUGGGCAAUGCCCGCAAGGGUGACCCAGCAACGCCGCGUGGAGGAUGAAUGUCGUAAGAUUGUAAACUCCUGUUAGAGGGGAAGAAUAGUACCGGUUGGACCGGUAUAUGACUGUACCCUCAGAGAAAGCCCCGGCUAACUACGUGCCAGCAGCCGCGGUAAUACGUAGGGGGCAAGCGUUGUCCGGAUUUACUGGGUGUAAAGGGCGCGCAGGCGGGAUAAAAAGUCAGUGGUGAAAUCCUACAGCUUAACUGUAGAACUGCCGUGGAUACUUGUAUUCUUGAGUUCGGGAGAGAGAGACGGAAUUCCAGGUGUAGUGGUGAAAUACGUAGAUAUCUGGAAGAACACCAGUUGCGAAGGCGGUCUCUUGGUCCGACACUGACGCUGAGGCGCGAAAGCGUGGGGAGCAAACA
rnacentral:rRNA from 1 species